rnacentral:rRNA from 1 species
UGGGGAAUUUUGGACAAUGGGCGAAAGCCUGAUCCAGCAAUGCCGCGUGUGUGAAGAAGGCCUUCGGGUUGUAAAGCACUUUUGUCCGGAAAGAAAUCCUUGGCUCUAAUACAGUCGGGGGAUGACGGUACCGGAAGAAUAAGCACCGGCUAACUACGUGCCAGCAGCCGCGGUAAUACGUAGGGUGCAAGCGUUAAUCGGAAUUACUGGGCGUAAAGCGUGCGCAGGCGGUUUGCUAAGACCGAUGUGAAAUCCCCGGGCUCAACCUGGGAACUGCAUUGGUGACUGGCAGGCUAGAGUAUGGCAGAGGGGGGUAGAAUUCCACGUGUAGCAGUGAAAUGCGUAGAGAUGUGGAGGAAUACCGAUGGCGAAGGCAGCCCCCUGGGCCAAUACUGACGCUCAUGCACGAAAGCGUGGGGAGCAAACAGGAUUAGACUACCCUGGUAGUCCACGCCCUAAACGAUGUCGAACUAGUUGUUGGGGAUUCAUUUCCUUAGUAACGUAGCUAACGCGUGAAGUUGACCGCC